UAUAAGAUCUAACAAUUUUCUGUGAACCUUCAAACAAACAUAAUGCAUCGGUUUCAUUAGCUGUGGACACAUUCCAUAUGGGUAACUGGUACUUAUAAGGGUUAUUAUUUAUCCAGUUCAUCCAUAUGUGUUCAGUCAAUGAGUGCUUGCAUAUUACAUGCUGAUAGAUAGGUGGUGGAGAAAGGUUCUUGAGGGAGCGUGUGUGACGAAUGCUAGAUGAGGGGCUAAGGCCUAAUUGGGCUAGGGGUAUUGAAGAAUUGUUCAUCAUGUCAG